rnacentral:rRNA from 1 species
CCUACGGGUGACAGCAGUCGAGAAUCAUUCACAAUGGGGGAAACCCUGAUGGUGCGACGCCGCGUGGGGGAAUGAAGGUCUUCGGAUUGUAAACCCCUGUCAUGUGGGAGCAAAUUAAAAAGAUCGUACCACAAGAGGCAGAGACGGCUAACUCUGUUCCAGCAGCCGCGGUAAUACAGAGGUCUCAAGCGUUGUUCGGAAUCACUGGGCGUAAAGCGUGCGUAGGCUGUUUCGUAAGUCGUGUGUGAAAGGCGCGGGCUCAACCCGCGGACGGCACAUGAUACUGCGAGACUAGAGUAAGGGAGGGGGAACCGGAAUUCUCGGUGUAGCAGUGAAAUGCGUAGAUAUCGAGAGGAACACUCGUGGCGAAGGCGGGUUCCUGGACAGUAACUGACGCUGAGGCACGAAGGCCAGGGGAGCGAAAGGGAUUAGAUACCCCAGUAGUC